rnacentral:rRNA from 1 species
CUCUCCCUCUGGCGGCAUGCCUAACACAUGCAAGUCGAACGAGACCUUCGGGUCUAGUGGCGCACGGGUGCGUAACGCGUGGGAACCUGCCCUUAGGUUCGGAAUAACUCCCCGAAAGGGGUGCUAAUACCGGAUAAUGUCUUCGGACCAAAGAUUUAUCGCCUUUGGAUGGGCCCGCGUUGGAUUAGCUAGUUGGUAGGGUAAAAGCCUACCAAGGCGACGAUCCAUAGCUGGUCUGAGAGGAUGAUCAGCCACACUGGGACUGAGACACGGCCCAGACUCCUACGGGAGGCAGCAGUGGGGAAUAUUGGACAAUGGGCGAAAGCCUGAUCCAGCAAUGCCGCGUGAGUGAUGAAGGCCUUAGGGUUGUAAAGCUCUUUUACCCGGGAUGAUAAUGACAGUACCGGGAGAAUAAGCUCCGGCUAACUCCGUG